rnacentral:misc_RNA from 1 species
AAAUCGAACGCGGCACGAUGGAAAACCUGCUGGCGAUGCCGAUCACUCCGGUUGAGGUGAUGCUCGGCAAGAUCAUUCCCUAUGUGCUGGUUGGUUUUCUCCAAGCCACCAUCAUCAUCGGUAUCGGCCACUUCCUGUUCCAUGUGCCGAUCCUCGGCAGCCUGUCGGUGUUGGCCGCCCUUUCGACACUGUUCAUCGCGGCCAAUCUGUCGAUCGGCUACACGUUCUCGACCAUUGCGCAGAACCAGCUCCAGGCGAUGCAGAUGUCGAUGAUGUUCUUCCUGCCGAACAUUCUCCUGUCCGGAUUCAUGUNNNNCGCGGGCAUGCCGGUCUGGGCGCAAUGGAUCGGUGAGGCGCUCCCGCUAACCCACUACAUC